GACGAACGCUGGCGGCACGCUUAACACAUGCAAGUCGAACGAGAACCUCGGAGCUUGCUCCGAGGGGACAGUGGCGAACGGGUGAGUAACACGUGAGGAACCUGCCCCGAAGACCGGGAUAACACCGGGAAACCGGUGCUAAUACCGGAUGCCCUCUCCGGAUCGCAUGAUCUGGCGAGGAAAUGGAUUCCGCUUCGGGAUGGCCUCGCGGCCUAUCAGCUUGUUGGUGGGGUAACGGCCCACCAAGGCUUCGACGGGUAGCUGGUCUGAGAGGAUGUCCAGCCACACUGGGACUGAGACACGGCCCAGACUCCUACGGGAGGCAGCAGUGGGGAAUCUUGCGCAAUGGGCGAAAGCCUGACCCAGCCAUGCCGCGUGAGUGAAGAAGGCCUUCGGGUUGUAAAGCUCUUUCAGACGGAAAGAAAUCGGUGAGGUUAAUACCUUCACUGGAUGACGGUACCGUAAGAAGAAGCACCGGCUAACUAC
rnacentral:rRNA from 1 species